rnacentral:rRNA from 1 species
GCCUCAGUAACGGCGAGUGAAGCGGCAACAGCUCAAAUUUGAAAUCUGGUCACCUUACGGAGGCCCGAGUUGUAAUUUGAAGAGGAUGCUUUUGGCGAGGUGCCUUCCGAGUGCCCUGGAACGGGACGCCACAGAGGGUGAGAGCCCCGUAUGGUUGGACACCGAGCCUAUGUAAAGCUCCUUCGACGAGUCGAGUAGUUUGGGAAUGCUGCUCAAAAUGGGAGGUAAACCCCUUCUAAAGCUAAAUAUUGGCCAGAGACCGAUAGCGCACAAGUAGAGUGAUCGAAAGAUGAAAAGCACUUUGAAAAGAGAGUUAAACAGCACGUGAAAUUGUUGAAAGGGAAGCGCUUGCAACCAGACUUGCGCCCGUCGGAUCAACCGUCGCUUGUCGGCGGCGCACUCCGGCGGGCUCAGGCCAGCAUCAGUUUUCCCGGGGGGAGAAAGGCGGUGGGAAUGUAGCUCCUAGGAGUGUUACAGCCCGCCGCGUAAUACCCUCGGGGGGACUGAGGACCGCGCAUCUGCAAGGAUGC